GACGAACGCUGGCGGCGUGCUUAACACAUGCAAGUCGAACGGAAAGGCCCUGCUUUUGUGGGGUGCUCGAGUGGCGAACGGGUGAGUAACACGUGAGUAACCUGCCCUUGACUUUGGGAUAACUUCAGGAAACUGGGGCUAAUACCGGAUAGGAGCUCCUGCUGCAUGGUGGGGGUUGGAAAGUUUCGGCGGUUGGGGAUGGACUCGCGGCUUAUCAGCCUGUUGGUGGGGUAGUGGCUUACCAAGGCUUUGACGGGUAGCCGGCCUGAGAGGGUGACCGGCCACAUUGGGACUGAGAUACGGCCCAGACUCCUACGGGAGGCAGCAGUGGGGAAUAUUGCACAAUGGGCGGAAGCCUGAUGCAGCAACGCCGCGUGCGGGAUGACGGCCUUCGGGUUGUAAACCGCUUUCGCCUGUGACGAAGCGUGAGUGACGGUAAUGGGGAAAGAAGCACCGGCUAACUACGU
rnacentral:rRNA from 1 species